GCACUGCUGAAGAGUCCCGUACCAGAACGAAACGGCAGUCCAGUGU
rfam:Schistosoma margrebowiei strain Zambia genome assembly, scaffold: SMRZ_contig0006227